rnacentral:rRNA from 1 species
UGAGGAAUAUUGGUCAAUGGGCGAGAGCCUGAACCAGCCAAGUCGCGUGAAGGAUGACUGUCUUAUGGAUUGUAAACUUCUUUUAUACGGGAAUAACAAGAGCCACGUGUGGCUCCCUGCAUGUACCGUAUGAAUAAGCAUCGGCUAACUCCGUGCCAGCAGCCGCGGUAAUACGGAGGAUGCGAGCGUUAUCCGGAUUUAUUGGGUUUAAAGGGUGCGUAGGCGGCCUGUUAAGUCAGCGGUGAAAUCUAGGAGCUUAACUCCUAAAUUGCCAUUGAUACUGGCGGGCUUGAGUGUAGAUGAGGUAGGCGGAAUGCGUGGUGUAGCGGUGGAAUGCAUAGAUAUCACGCAGAACUCCGAUUGCGAAGGCAGCUUACUAAGGUACAACUGACGCUGAAGCACGAAAGCGUGGGUAUCAAACAGGAUUAGAUACCCUGGUAGUCCACGCAGUAAACGAUGAUAACUGGGCGUAUGCGAUAUACAGUAUGCUCCUAAGCGAAAGCGUUAAGUUAUCCACCUGGGGAGUACGCCGGCAACGGUG